AUUGAACGCUGGCGGCAGGCUUAACACAUGCAAGUCGAGCGAGCGGCGGACGGGUGAGUAAUGUCUGGGAAACUUCCCGAUGGAGGGGGAUAACUACUGGAAACGGUAUCCAAUACCGCCUACCCUCAGAUUUGCCCCGUUGGGAUGAGCGAGUAGGUGGGGUAAUGGCUCACCUGGGCGCUGAUCCCUAGCUGGUCUGAGAGGAUGACCAGCCAAAAGGGAAUGGGGACAGGGGCCAGCUUCUUACGGGAGUCAGCAGGGGGGAAUAUUGGACAAGGGGGGAAAGCCUGAUGCAGCAAUCCCGGGUGUGGGAGGAAGGCCUUCGGGUUGUAAGGCACUUUCAGCGGGGAGGCGUUACUGGAAGAAGAAGCACCGGCUAACUACGUGCCAGCAGCCGCGGUAAUUC
rnacentral:rRNA from 1 species